rnacentral:misc_RNA from 1 species
AGUAGUCGGAAAUACAGCAAAAAGUUACUACAACUAAUCCUCAUCAAACGGAGGACAGAUUCAAAAGGAGCACAGGUAAUCUACCAAUCAACGGAAGUCAACAGCUCAACCAUAUUAGAUAUGCUCCAUAUUUUACAACACCACAACAUAAAGUCAGGACGCUAAAUGAACCCAAAGUUGGGAUGAUCUUUUACAAACCCAUGUCAUCACAAGCAUGCCUC